AUUGCACGCUGGCGGCCGGCCUAACCCAUGCAAGUCGUGCGAGCGGCGGACGGGUGAGUAAUGUACGGGGAUCUGCCCGAUUGAGGGGGUUAACUACUGGAAACGGUGGCUAAUACCGCAUACUAUUGGAUUAAUCCAUAUGGGAUUUGCUAGUAGGUGGGGUAAAGGCCCACCUAGGCGACGAUCUCUAGCUGGUCUGAGAGGAUGACCAGCCACACUGGGACGGAGACACGGCCCAGACUCCUACGGGAGGCAGCAGUGGGGAAUAUUGCACAAGGGGCGCAAGCCUGAUGCAGCCAUGCCGCGUGUAUGAAGAAGGCCUUAGGGUUGUAAAGUACUGUCAGCGGGGAGGCGUUACCCGCAGAAGAAGCACCGGCUAACUCCGUGCCAGCAGCCGCGGUAAUAC
rnacentral:rRNA from 1 species